UACGGAGGGGGCUAGCGUUGUUCGGAAUUACUGGGCGUAAAGGGCGCGUAGGCGGCUUUGUAAGUCAGAGGUGAAAGCCCGGGGCUCAACUCCGGAAUUGCCUUUAAGACUGCAUCGCUAGAAUUGUGGAGAGGUAAGUGGAAUUCCGAGUGUAGAGGUGAAAUGCGCAGAUAUCAGGAAGAACACCUAUGGCGAAGGCAGCUCUCUGGGACGGUACUGACGCUGAGACGCGAAAGCGUGGGGAGCGAACAGG
rnacentral:rRNA from 1 species